rnacentral:rRNA from 1 species
CUACGGGAGGCUGCAGUGAGGAAUAUUGCACAAUGGGGGGAACCCUGAUGCGGCAACGCCGCGUGGAGGAUGACGCAUUUCGGUGUGUAAACUCCUUUUAUAUGUCAAGAAAAUGACGGUAGCAUAUGAAUAAGCACCUGCUAACUCCGUGCCAGCAGCCGCGGUAAUACGGGGGUGCAAGCGUUAUUCGGAAUCACUGGGCGUAAAGGACGCGUAGGCGGGUUGGAAAGUCAGGUGUGAAAUCCUACAGCUUAACUGUAGAACUGCACUUGAAACUUCUAAUCUAGAGUAUGGGAGGGGGAGAUGGAAUUAGUGGUGUAGGGGUAAAAUCCGUAGAUAUCACUAGGAAUACCUAAAGCGAAGGCGAUCUCCUGGAACAUUACUGACGCUGAGGUGCGAAAGCGUGGGGAGCAAACAGGAUUAGAUACCCUCGUAGUC